ACAGCUAUAUCACGUUGAAACACCAGUUCCUGUACGAUCACCGAAGUUAAGCAACGUCGAGCUUGCUCAGUACCUAGAUGGGUGACUGCUUGGGAAUAGCAGAUGCUGUAA